GACGAACGCUGGCGGCGUGCUUAACACAUGCAAGUCGAGCGAUGAAGUUCCUUCGGGAAUGGAUUAGCGGCGGACGGGUGAGUAACACGUGGGUAACCUGCCUCAUAGAGGGGAAUAGCCUUUCGAAAGGAAGAUUAAUACCGCAUAAGAUUGUAGUUCCGCAUGGAAUAGCAAUUAAAGGAGUAAUCCGCUAUGAGAUGGACCCGCGUCGCAUUAGCUAGUUGGUGAGGUAACGGCUCACCAAGGCGACGAUGCGUAGCCGACCUGAGAGGGUGAUCGGCCACAGUGGGACUGAGACACGGCCCAGACUCCUACGGGAGGCAGCAGUGGGGAAUAUUGCACAAUGGGGGAAACCCUGAUGCAGCUACGCCGCGUGAGUGAUGACGGUCUUCGGAUUGUAAAACUCUGUCUUCAGGGACGAUAAUGACGGUACCUGAGGAGGAAGCCACGGCUAACUACGUGCCAGCCGCCGCCGUAA
rnacentral:rRNA from 1 species